AACGAGCGCUGGCGGCGUGGAUAAGACAUGCAAGUCGAACGGGACAGACCGAGUAGCAAUAUAUUGAAUGUUCAGUGGCGAACGGGUGCGUAACAAGAGGAUAACAUUCCGGAAAGCGGGGAAUAGCCCAGGGUAACUUGGAUUAGUACCGCAUGUGGCCGCAAGGUCAAAGACGGGGACCGCAAGGCCUGUAACUUACCGACUGCUCCGCGGCCGAUGAGCGAGUUGGCGGGGUUAUGGCACACCAAGGCUACGACGGGUAGCUGGUCUUAGAGGACGACCAGCCACACUGGAACUGAGACACGGUCCAGACACCUACGGGUGGCAGCAGUCGAGAAUCUUUCACAAUGGGGGCAACCCUGAUGGAGCGACGCCGCGUGAAGGAUAAGGUCUUCGGAUUGUAAACUCCUGUCAUGCGAGAACAAGGUACUCAGGCUAAUAACCUGAUUGUUUGAUGGUACCGCAAGAGGAAGAGACGGCUAACUCUGUGCCAGCCGCCGCCGUAAAAC
rnacentral:rRNA from 1 species